rnacentral:rRNA from 1 species
AACGCUAGCUACAGGCUUAACACAUGCAAGUCGAGGGGCAGCAUGGUCUUAGCUUGCUAAGGCCGAUGGCGACCGGCGCACGGGUGAGUAACGCGUAUCCAACCUGCCUUACACUCUUGGACAGCCUUCUGAAAGGGAGAUUAAUACAAGAUGUUAUCAUGAGUAAGCAUUUUCGCAUGAUUAAAGGUUUACCGGUGUAAGAUGGGGAUGCGUUCCAUUAGAUAGUAGGCGGGGUAACGGCCCACCUAGUCUUCGAUGGAUAGGGGUUCUGAGAGGAAGGUCCCCCACAUUGGAACUGAGACACGGUCCAAACUCCUACGGGAGGCAGCAGUGAGGAAUAUUGGUCAAUGGACGAGAGUCUGAACCAGCCAAGUAGCGUGAAGGAUGAAGGUUCUAUGGAUUGUAAACUUCUUUUAUACGGGAAUAAACGAAUCCACGUGUGGAUUUUUGCAUGUACCGUAUGAAUAAGGAUCGGCUAACUCCGUGCCAGCAGCCGCGGUAAUACGGAGGAUCCGAGCGUUAUCCGGAUUUAUUGGGUUUAAAGGGAGCGUAGAUGGGUUGUUAAGUCAGUUGUGAAAGUUUGCGGCUCAACCGUAAAAUUGCAAUUGAUACUGGCAGUCUUGAGUACAGUUGAGGUAGGCGGAAUUCGUGGUGUAGCGGUGAAAUGCUUAGAUAUCACGAAGAACUCCGAUUGCGAAGGCAGCUUACUAACCUGUAACUGACAUUGAUGCUCGAAAGUGUGGGUAUCAAACAGGAUUAGAUACCCUGGUAGUCCACACGGUAAACGAUGAAUACUCGCUGUAGGCGAUAUACAGUCUGCGGCCAAGCGAAAGCAUUAAGUAUUCCACCUGGGGAGUACGCCGGCAACGGUGAAACUCAAAGGAAUUGACGGGGGCCCGCACAAGCGGAGGAACAUGUGGUUUAAUUCGAUGAUACGCGAGGAACCUUACCCGGGCUUAAAUUGCAACCGAAUAUGGCGGAAACGCUAUAGCUAGCAAUAGCGGUUGUGAAGGUGCUGCAUGGUUGUCGUCAGCUCGUGCCGUGAGGUGUCGGCUUAAGUGCCAUAACGAGCGCAACCCUUGCCGAUAGUUACUAACAGGUCAUGCUGAGGACUCUGUCGGGACUGCCAUCGUAAGAUGUGAGGAAGGUGGGGAUGACGUCAAAUCAGCACGGCCCUUACGUCCGGGGCUACACACGUGUUACAAUGGGGGGUACAGAGGGCUGCUACCACGCAAGUGGAUGCCAAUCCCAAAAACCUCUCUCAGUUCGGAUUGAAGUCUGCAACCCGACUUCAUGAAGCUGGAUUCGCUAGUAAUCGCGCAUCAGCCACGGCGCGGUGAAUACGUUCCCGGGCCUUGUACACACCGCCCGUCAAGCCAUGGGAGCCGGGGGUACCUGAAGUGCGUAACCGCAAGGAGCGCCCUAGGGUAAAACUGGUGACUGGGGCUA